AGGGUGUAAACGCUGCGGGCUUGGUGUUGGGGGUCCUUAGUGGGCGCCCCGUGCCGGAGAGAAGUUGUUAAGCCUGCUGCUUGGGGAGUAUGUCCGCAAGGAUGAAACUUAAAGGAAUUGGCGGGGGAGCACCACAACGGGUGGAGCUUGCGGUUUAAUUGGAUUCAACGCCGGAAAUCUUACCGGGACCGACAGCAACAUGAAGGCCAGGCUGAAGACUUUGCCGGAUUAGCUGAGAGGUGGUGCAUGGCGUAGUCGUGU
rnacentral:rRNA from 1 species